AGUGAACGCUGGCGGUAGGCCUAACACAUGCAAGUCGAACGGCAGCACAGGAGAGCUUGCUCUCUGGGUGGCGAGUGGCGGACGGGUGAGGAAUACAUCGGAAUCUGCCCAGUCGUGGGGGAUAACGUAGGGAAACUUACGCUAAUACCGCAUACGACCUUCGGGGCAAGGCGGGGGAUCGCAAGACCUCUCGCGAUUGGAUGAGCCGAUGUCGGAUUAGCUAGUUGGCGGGGUAAUGGCCCACCAAGGCGACGAUCCGUAGCUGGUCUGAGAGGAUGAUCGGCCACACUGGAACUGAGACACGGUCCAGACUCCUACGGGAGGCAGCAGUGGGGAAUAUUGGACAAUGGGCGCAAGCCUGAUCCAGCCAUACCGCGUGGGUGAAGAAGGCCUUCGGGUUGUAAAGCCCUUUUGUUGGGAAAGAAAUCUUUCAGGCUAAUACCCUGGGAGGAUGACGGUACCCAAAGAAUAAGCACCGGCUAACUUCGUG
rnacentral:rRNA from 1 species